ensembl:snRNA predicted gene, 23078
AGAUUUACCAGCAGCUGAGAUAACAUUGUAAAGAAGGUAGUUUUCCCAAAGAAAGCUUCAUCCAUCACACUGCUGCAAUUUCUGCAAAUUUUGAAAACUGGAUUGCAUGAUUUAUGGUAGUAGGUGAUUAUGUUCAUAUGAACUCUCC